GACGAACGCUGGCGGCGUGCUUAACACAUGCAAGUCGAACGGAAAGGCCCUGCUUGCAGGGUACUCGAGUGGCGAACGGGUGAGUAACACGGGGGUGAUCUGCCCUGCACUUCGGGCUAAGCUUGGGAAACUGGGUCUAAUACCGGAUAGGAACCAUCUUUGGUGUGGUGGUUGGAAAGUUUUUUCGGUGUAGGAUGAGCUCGGGGCCUAUCAGCUUGUUGGUGGGGUAAUGGGCUACCAAGGCGGCGAGGGGUGGCCGGCCUGAGAGGGUGUACGGCCACAUUGGGACUGAGAUACGGCCCAGACUCCUACGGGAGGCAGCAGUGGGGAAUAUUGCACAAUGGGCGCAAGCCUGAUGCAGCGACGCCGCGUGGGGGAUGAAGGCCUUCGGGUUGUAAACUCCUUUCGCUAGGGACGAAGCUUUGUUGUGACGGUACCUAGAUAAGAAGCACCGGCUAACUACGUGCCAGCAGCCGCAGUAA
rnacentral:rRNA from 1 species